rnacentral:rRNA from 1 species
GAAGUGGGUAGUCCGCACGAGCGCACCCUAUCAUUAUUUGCCAGCACGUUAUGGUGGGAACUUUAAUGAGACUGCCGGUGACAAACCGGAGGAAGGUGGGGACGACGUCAAGUCAUCAUGGCCCUUAUGGGCAGGGCUACACACGUGCUACAAUGGCUAAUACAAUGGGCAGCCAACCCGCGAGGGGGAGCCAAUCCAAUAAAAUUAGUCUCAGUCCGGAUCGAAGUCUGCAACUCGACUUCGUGAAGUUGGAAUCGCUAGUAAUCGUAUAUCAGCAAUGGUACGGUGAAUACGUUCCCGGGUCUUGUACACACCGCCCGUCACACCAUGGAAGUUGGUUGCACCAGAAGUAGAUAGUCUAACCUUAGGGAGGACGUUUACCACGGUGUGGUCAGUGACUAGGGUGAAGUCGUAACAAGGUAGCCGUACGGGAACGUGCGGCUGGAUCACCUCCUUUUU